AUUUUUUUUUUGUGUUUCGCAGUCACACGACUUUUGUUCUUUGCUUGAGGAAUUUUUUUUUGAUUCCUCUUCUUGCUUUUUUUUGUUUUUUGACUGUUCCCUAAUUUUCACUGGACUGUUUUUUUGCUUACAGUCCACGGUGAAUACUCUAAUUUUUGCCUAAGCCAUGCUUUCAGUUUCGAACUUUAGCGGGCUUCUCUCUCUCUUUUUUUUUAGAGUUUUUUUUUGUGGAAACAAAAUCGUGUGACGUUUGUUGAUUUGGUUUGAAAGGAUUGUGACUGGCUCACUGUUUUUUUUGUUGGCUUUUUGAGGACAACCAUUGGAUUUUGUGAUUUCGACCUCUGCGUGAGGGAAAUAUAUAUGUUAUCCUUUAGGCAAAAGACACCCCUAGAGAUUGUGGUUGAUCCUCAAAUGGACACUCCCUACUUGGUUAUUUUUAGGAAUUGAACGCGUGGUUUCAAAAUUAGCUUGAAGAUACCAUGCCCCGGGUUUAAGAUGUGAGGGUUUCUCUGCUUGGAAGAAAACUCCUACUUUAUGGCUCAAAGGGGUUGACUAAGGAUUAAUCAUACCUUAUACUCCAGUUUUGGGAUUUGAAGCAAUGCCUAUCACAUCGGCAAGGGUGGUUUAUUCAAAGCAUCAUGCAAAUGACUAUUGUACGCUUAUAUUCCUCAUGUCUCCCUCUAAGUUCGUUUUUAAACAAAGUAAGAUAAGAGUAACACGAUUGAUUGACAUUAAAACAUGCAUAUUCAUUUCAUUGUUGGCAAAAACAAGUUUUUUAGAGUUGAAUAUUACAAUGACAAGCAAGAAAGUUGACCAUUGACAAACAAAUGAAUGAUAACAUAACUGCUGCGUGAUAGCCUGUUACAACGCGGUAACCGGUGUCACACUGCUUGUAGGAACUUAUGUAUGAUAGUCCAAGGAGGCUCUUCUAGGCUUCUUGUUCCUCAUCCAUUGGCACUGGUUGUGGCAAUUGCAGAAGUGGCUUCAAUGUGGCAGCAUGAGGUUACUCGUUAUCCAGGCCUUGUUUUGUUUGUGUGAACGUGAUAGCCUUUUGAAUCAAUCAGUUCCUGGACCUUGUAUUUGAAAAGCUUACAACUGCUCCGAUCGAGUGUCUAGGUGUUUCCUUGAGUGGAACACACACCUAACAUUCAUGCGUAGUUCAAGGGAAGAUGUGUGGAGGAGGUCCUAGUACCGCUUAACUGCACCAAUGAUCUGUUGGAAGCCAGCGGUAGAAGCUGACAUAUGACAUGGGAACUGGGUCAAACUGUUUCUCUUGGCCUCUUUGAUUUUUUCUGGGCCUUCUUGAGCAUAAGAGUUUUGGUCCUCCGAACUUGAGUACCAUUUUGAUUCGCAUUUGGUGCCUCAGAGCUAGCUGAGGAACGAACACUAUGGCUGUUGAUUAAGAAAACUCAGCAAUUCGGGUUGGAGACGGUAUCCCUGAAGCAACUCAUGACGUGAGGUGGAGCUGGACAGAGGCACAGGGGAGACAAUUUCCAUCAUGGAGGUUGUGUGGGAUUUCCUUCCUUUUUCAAACAGUGUUUGCAAGAUUUCUAUAACGCAAGCUCAUUUGAAGUCUUUUAGUUGGCUGAUCUCUUCCUUUUCAAUGCAGUUGGCCUUGUUGGGCUCUUCCACAGUGCUUGAAGACCCUGCUUCUAGUUUCUAACGCGUAACGUCGGCGAAAAUAGCUAGUGGGGUAAAAUACAAAAGGUGGUAUAAGGUUUUGCUUAUGAGUAUGCAAAUGAUGCAUGAAUGUAUGUUUAUUAUGAAUGAAUGGGUGAGAAGAUUUCCACAGGUUUUUAAGGCAUGGGUUCAUGGUUUUGGAAUCAUGACGAAAUGGAGUUUGAAUAAUGCCUGCUGAGUAAACCAAGGUUCUCGCAGUUUGUGUGACUCUAGGCUUUUAGAAAACUGGGUGUAAGACCCUGCCCCUCUAGAGAUCAUGAGCAUUCCUUGACUGUCGCCGUUAUGUCAUUUACUUAUCAGGCGACUACUCCAUCAAAGCCCACUACUCUAAGUGAGAUCUUCGAUCGACCCUUAUGAGAAGGCACCUCGUGGCCUCAUAUAUGCGACCAUCGUCUAGGCUAGCCAUAGUUUUAAAGGUCUAAAAGGGGUCUUAGGUCAUUGACUCUAGUAAAGAAAAGAUGCUUUACGCCUAAAGCACGACGGUCAUCAACCCCUAAGAGACUCUACCACUAAGUGAGAUAUUCUCGGUACAACCCUAACGAGGAAAAGGCACCUCGCGAUCAAUUAUUCUCAACCUCUCCUAUCUCAAGCAAGCUCUCAGACUCGGGUGGACGAGUCUUCACAAAGUUUUUUCUUACAACAAAUUAUUGCCUUCAAAAAUUCUUCGUCACAGAGUCAGGGUUUCCAACCAACCAGGCGAACAAAGAAAUAUGCACAGGUUAGGCAAACGAACAGCAAUAUAUAUAGAAAAAUAGAUACAGAUAAAUCUUCACGUACCGUAAAAGAAGGAACACCCAAACAUAGGAUAGACUUGCUUAUGGAGAUUUUGGUGUCCCCAGCCGUCAGUCGCCAGCUGUCACUACCGGAUUCUCACGAUAACCGAAAAUCGGGACUAAAGAGAUCCAAAAAGAGAGGCAAAGUCAGAAGAGUCGCCACCGCAAAUUUUAUUUAGUUUACUCUAUCGAGAGGAGAGGGGAAAUAGUCGAUAAACCCUCGAAAAGAAGACCGUACGGGAAGCGCUAAAAGCAGAAAUAAGGAAUCGAGUCUCGCAUCCGAGAUUGGGUUCGGAAGUCGGUUACGUAUAGGGGAAGGUAUAGACACCCUUAACGUCCACUGGGUACUCAUGGAACCAUUUGGGUUGUUUAACGAUACAUGGGAUUUAUCAUUAUCGCAUUUUAUUUUCAAAAUGAAUGUGUGAAAGAAGGGGGUAUUUUUUGUUAUUAUACGCUGCCUUCGCAAGGAUUUGGACGGCCUUGUGCUACGUUCACUCAUUCAGAUGAGAUCAGAGCUCCGCGUUCGAGUAAUUUGUGGCUUGGUUGAUUUUCCCUUUGAGAAAAGGUUUUUCAGAGAUGAAGCCCUAAAGGCAUAAAAAUGAGUUUGAAUGAGUUGUAUUGUUUUUACGUUGAAUAAGGGUUUUAUGAAAGAACUGUUUGUGAUUAUAUUGUACUAAUAGUCAUAGGGCGGAGGUAUUUUCUAGAACAACAGCCAAGCGUCUUGCGUCCAAAUAUCAGAGUAAGGUACGGAAUUGCCUCCAUUCUCACUCAUUCUCCACACACUUAAGGCUCGUGGCUCACAAUAAUAUCGUCAAUUAUUUAAGUGUUUUGAAAUUUGAUUAUAAAAUCGUCACUUGACGUUGAAUCAAGGGUUUUGUUUUAUUUAAUUAAUGAAAUUUGGCUUAUGCGGGACAUGAAUGCAAGUAACCAAACAAUAAAUUAAGAGUCCCUCAUUGUAAGGUAGCGCCAAGAGAAAGCCCUUUUGUGUGCAAAAGUGACCUAAGCUAAAACAAAGGCAUAAUGGUCUUUUACAACAUGUCCCCCUAAGGUGGUGCCAUGAGCCAUUCUUACAACAAAUGCAUGUAAGUUACGGAUCGAAUCCAAGUGCUUUACACAAGUAUCACAACAGAGUAAUGAAAAGCUCAACAAAUAUGAAGUGAUGGGUAUUUGUGAAGGUUGUUCAUGGGAUGGAAAAUAAAUUUGAUAUGAAAUCAUCUCUUGAGGAUAGUUUAUGGUAUUAUGCGGGGAGGAAAUGGGUCAGCUGUAUGAUGGUUAUGUCAUGAUGUGUAUGAUAUGCAAUGUAUGUUAUGGUGUGUAACAUAAGUAUCUCUUCAACUGGAAAAUAAAGAGAAAAGCUUCAUGACAAAAGGUCAAGAAGAAAGAUGAGAGGGAAUAUGACUUCGUUGGGGAUAAGUUUCUUAUGUAAAAGAUAGUGAAAAUCCCUAACAAUGGCUGAGAAGAUUUUAGUUCAGUGACGCUUCCUAGAAACAACUAGAAUACCUGAAAUCUAAAGAUGUAGAUCCCUAACAACGACUAGGGAGGUUUUAGUUCAGUGACACUUCCUAGCAACGGCUGGAAUACCUGAAAUCUAAAGAUGUAGAUCCCUAGCAACGACUAGGGAGGUUUUAGUUCAGUGACGCUUCCUAGCAAUGGCUUGAAUACCUGAAAUCUAAAGAUGUAGAUCCCUAGCAACGACUGGGGAGGUUUUAGUUCAGUGACGCUUCCUAGCAAUGGCUGGAAUACCUGAAAUCUAAAUAUGCAGAUCCCUAGCAAUGACUGGGAAGGUUUGAAUUUGAAAAGUAUCAAUCCCUAGCAACGGCUGGGAAGGUUUGAGUUUGAAAAGUGUCAAUCCCUAGAAACGGCUGGGAAGGUUUGAUUUUUGAAAGUGUGUGAAAGGCACAAGAGUACUUGUAAAAGGCAGGUGAAUAGAUAUGAUGGUUAUCAUACACAAGGUAGAGGAAAAUUUACGGUAGGCAAGAAAAACUCAUUAUAUCCCUCAGGCACAACGACGGGGAUGAAAUUUUCGAAAUAUGGCUACCACUUGGGACUUGCCAAACCUACAUCAGGUGACAAACGAUAAGAGAAUAGGUCAAUCGUCCAAUCUCUCAUUUUUGCUUAACAUGCAAAGUUGAUAAAGAUAAACUCUCUCGUGCAAAAGGCAACAAGGAGGUUUGCAAAAAGGCAAAACAAGGUUUUCCCAUGCAAAAAAGCAGAGGGGUCUUGCAAAAGGCAAGGUACUGACAAAGGGCCAACAAUAUUUGCAAAAGGUAAAUAAAAAGAGAUACUUUGGGGAAACCUGUUGGGGUUGUUCACGGGGACCCUUGCACUUUCGAGAAGAGCUUGAAUCCAACUUAUACUAAACAUACCUGCCCCAAUAUGAAGAGUAUCUUAUGAUGCAAUGUUAUGUAUGUAAAAUGUCGAUGUAUGCUCGGGCUGCUGGGGUAUGCAAAUGCAGGGUCUAUGGAUUGUGCCAAGUAUGUUUGGGCUUUAGUGGAACUUUCCGUUUCGGAGGGAAAAAUUAUGCAUGAAGUGAUGCAUGCAAUGCAUGUGGGAUUGCAACUGGGUAUUUGGAUUUUUGUAGGGAUUUAUUUUUGUUUUCAAUGAGAGAUUGUUGGUGAAUAUCAUCAUCGAAGGGGUGAUGGAAAAUGGUUUGGAACAUCGUCAUCAAAGGGUUGAUGGAAAAGGGUGACAUCAUCAAAGGGUUGAUGGAAAAGGGUGUCAUCAUCAAAAGGUUGAUGGAAAAGAGUUUGUCAUCGUCAAAAGGUUGACGAAAAGGUAAUUUGUCUUCGUCAAAGGGUUGACGGGAAAGAGUUUGUCAUCGUCAAAGGGUUGACGGAAAGGUAAUUUGUCUUCGUCAAAGGGUUGACGGAAAAGAGUUGGUCUUCGUCAAAGGGUUGACGGAAAGGUAAUUUGUCUUCGUCAAAGGGUUGACAGAAAGAAACUGUUGUAAAAUGUCGUCAUCAGAGGGCUGAUGGAAAAAAGUUUGUCAUCGUCAAAGGGUUGACGGAAAGGUAAUUUGUCUUCGUCAAAGGGUUGAUGGAAAAAAGUUUGUCAUUGUCAAAGGGUUGACGGAAAGGUAAUUUGUCUUCGUCAAAGGGUUGACGGAAAAUAAUUUGUCAUCGUCAAAGGGUUGACGGAAAGAAACUGUUGUAAAAUGUCGUCAUCAGAGGACUGAUGGAAAAAAAAAGUUUGUCAUCGUCAAAGGGUUGAGGAAAGGUAAUUUGUCUUCGUCAAAGGGUUGACGAAAAAAAGUUUGUCAUCAUCAAAGGUUUGACGGAAAGGUAAUUUGUCUUCGUCAAAGGGUUGACGGAAAGGUAAUUUGUCUUCAUCAAAGGGUUGACGGAAGGAAACGGUUGUAAAAUAUCAUCAUCAAAGGGUUGAUGGAAAAACGUUUGUCAUCGUCAAAGGGUUGACGGAAAGGUAAUUUGUCUUCGUCAAAGGGUUGACGGAAGGAAACGGUUGUAAAAUGUCGUCAUCAGAGGGCUGAUGGAAAAAAGUUUGUCAUCGUCAGAGGGUUGACGGAAAGGUAAUUUGUCUUCGUCAAAGGGUUGACGGAAAGGUAAUUAAGGCAGGUUAUGUCCUCAUCAAAGGGUUGACGGGAAGGAUUUAUUAUGUUAUGUAUGCAUAUGGUGCAUGUUAAUGAGAAUUUCUCAUUUUUUGUGAGAGAGCUUUUUGAUAUGCAACUUCCUUAUUUUGAAAGAAGGUCAUGUGUGUUUAUUGUAUGCAGUGCAUGUGGUAAUGCAAGAUGAAUAUUGAUUGUCUUUGGAUUGAUCUCCCUUUUGGGAGGUGAUACUUUCUGGGUACCAAUGUUGAUUGGAAUUGAGUUUAUGAAGAUGCCAACGAAGUGAACUUUUAUUUCUAGUGAUGGCUAAUAUGGAGUGGGCUUUCGGUUUUGGAGAUGCCAAUAGCAAUUGGGCUUUAUGGUAAUGAUAGAGAUUUGUUUUGGAGGUGCCAAUCACGAUUGGGAUUUAUGGCUUUUAGGUUUCGGAGGGAUCAGGCUGGAUCUGAUGAUGAUUAGAUUUUUGGGUUUGCCAAGUAGGCUUUAAUUUUGGAAGGUAUCAAGUGAGGCUUGGCUUCAUUAUUCUUGUUGGGGAAGGGCUUCAUGUUAUGUAUGAUGCAUGAUAUGUAUGAGUGAAGCAACAUGGUUGUUGCGUAGUGAUUGAUGCAAUUGUUUUGGAUAGUUCAACAAAUGUCCUUAAGGUGGGUCAGGAAUGGUUGGAACUGAGAAAUAUUUUUGCUUGGCUUCAAGGCUCAUUGUUGACAAAUUAUGGGAUGAUGUGUUUAGCAUGACUUCCCGACAUUUGCUUUGAACUGGGCUGACGUAGUGAGCUUGGUCUGGAUAUUCUGAUGCCUCAUGCUUGAUCUGAGCAAGAAAAUCCAAAAUAUAAGGAAAUGCUUCUUCUUAAUGGCCAGUCUUGCCCCAAUCUGUUAGGUAUCUACAUGGACUGCCCCAAUUACAAGUUAUGUAGCAAACCAUGGGUAAAGUAAUCUUGACCUGAUAUGCCCCAGUGUCUUGGGUCAGCCUACCCCUAUUCAUCCAUCUCUUGGAGUGUUUUGACUUUCUCAUGCUUUUGAGGUGGUCUUCACUGGUAUGAAACCUUGAAUGGAUUUUUCCCCUGACUUCUCGACAUUUGAGGGAAUUCCCCUGGCCAACUUCCUUUGCCUAAUCUCGACGUGGUUGUCCCAGACUGACUGAAUCUUGAAGUGGCUUGCUCAACGAAGUUAUCAGAUGCCUUUCCCCCUGGUGAGAUUAAUCUAAGAGGAUGGCCUUUGCUCAUCGGAGUCCUUAGGAAAUUUUCCUCUUUUGGGUGACAAAAACUUCUCAAGUCAUGUUCAUUGUGAAAACGCUCUUGAUGUCAAUGCUCAUUCACAAGUAAAAUUAUUUAUGUUAAUGUUAUGUUUAUGGUAGUUUUUAGAAAUCCAAGUAUGUCCACUUAAAAUAUGACAUAUAGUGAAUGGAUCACUAGUUACAAAAGUCAUAUUGAUACUUAGCAAAACAAAUAGGAGUCAGUUUUGACACAAGCUCUAAUGCAAUAUGCUUUCAAAAUAGACCUUGCUUCAAUUAGGUCUUUUGAGGGUUGUAAUGUGGGAUGGUUCACGGUUUAAGAAACAAAGGAUUUAUGGCUCAAAAUUUUAUUUAGCUCGCCCAUUCUUCUUGAUACCCUUCAGUCCUACGUUCAACUAGUUUGACACAGACGUUCGUCUCUUAGAAUGAUGGGAAUGGUAGUAAGAGAACCCACAAAGGUUUUGGGAGUGAUAGUCACUUGCCUUCCUAUUUUUUUGUGUUUGCAGUCACACGACUUUGUUCUUGCUGAGGAUUUUUGUUUUUGAUUCCUCUUCUGCUUUUUUUUUGUUUUUUGACUUCCCUAAUUUUGCCUGGACUGUUUUUUUUUGCUUACAGUCCAACGGGAUACUCUAAUUUUUGCCUAAGCCAUGCUUUCAAGUUUCGACUUAGCGGGCUUCUUCUCUCUCUUUUUUUUUAGAGUUUUUUUUUGUGGAACAAAUCGUGUGACGUUUGUUGAUUUGGUUUGAAAGGAUUUGUGACUGGCUCACUUUUUUUGUUGGCGAGGGACAACCAUUGGAUUUGUGAUUUCGACCUCUCGUGAGGGAAAAUAUAUGGUUAUCCUUUAGGAAAGACACUCCCUAGGAUGUGGUUGAUCCUCAAAUGGGACACUCCCUACUUUGUAUUUUAGGAAUUGAACGCGUGGUCAAAUUAGCUGAAGACUACCCUGCCCCGGGUUUAAGAUGUGAGGGUUUCUCUGCUUGGAAGAAAACUCCUACGCUCAAAGGGGUUGACUAAGGAUUAUCAUCCUUAUACCUCCAGUGUUUGGGGAUUUGAAGCAAUGCCUUACAUCAUCGGCAAGGUGUUUAUUCAAAAGCAUACAUGCAAAUGAGCUAUUGUACCUUAUAUUCCUCAUUCUCCCUCUAAGUUUCGUUUUUAAACAAAGUAAGAUAAGAGUGAACAUGAACACGAUUGGAUUGACUUAAAACAUGCAUAUUCAUUUCAUUGUUGCAAAAACAAGUUUUUAAGAGUGAAUAUUACAAUGACAAGCAAGAAAGUUACACAUGAAAACAAAUGAAUGAUAACAUAACUGCUGGCGUGAUUAGCCUUGUUUCAACCGUAGACCGGUGUCAUCAUGCUUGUAGGAACUUAUGUAUGAUAGUGCCCAAGGAGGCUCUUAUUCAGCUUCUUGUUCCUCAUCCAUUGGCACUGGUUGUGGCAUUGCAGAAGUGCCUUCAUGUGGCAGCAUGAGGUUACUCAGUAUAUCCAGGCCGUUUGGUGUGAACGUGAUAGCCUUUGAAUCAAUCAGUUCCUGGACCUUGUAUUUGAAAGCCUUACAACUCUCGAUCGAGUGUCUAGGUGUUCCUGAGUGGAACACACACCUAACAUUCAUGUCGUAGUUCAAGGGAAGAUGUGUUGGAGGAGGUCCUAGUACCCUUAACUGCACCAAUGAUCUGUUGAGAAGAAGCGGUAGAACUCGACAAUAUGACAUGGGAACUGGGUCAAACUGUUUCUCUGGCCUCUUUGAUUUUUUCUGGCCUUCUUGAGCAUAAGAGUUUUGCCUCCGACUUGAGUACCAAUUUUGAUUCCGCAUUUGGUUCCUCAGAGCUAGCUGAGGAACGAACACUGGCUGUUGAUUAAGAAAACUCAGCAAUUCGGGUUGGAGACGGUAUCCCUGAAGCAACUCAUGACGUGAGGUGGAGCUGGACAGAGGCACAGGGGAGACAAUUUCCAUCAUGGAGGUUGGUGUGGGAUUUCCUUCCUUUUUCAACAGUGUUUGCAAGAUUUCUAUAACCAAGCUCAUUUGAGUCUUUAGUUGGCUGAUCUCUUCUUUCAAUGCAGCUUGGCCUUGUUGGAGCUCUUCCACAGUGGCUUGAGACAUGCUUCUAGUUCUAAGCGUACGUCGGGAAAUCAGCUAGUGGGGUAAAUACAAAAGGUGGUAUAAGGUUUUGCUUAUGAGAUGCAAAUGAUGCAUGAAUGUGAUGUUUAUUUAUGAAUGAAUGGGUGAGAAGAUUUCCACAGGUUUUUAGGCAUGGGUUCAUGGUUUUGGACCAUCAUGACGAAGCAUGGAGUUGAUAAUGACUGCUUAGUAAACCAAGGUUCUCGCUUUGUGUGAUCUAAGGCUUUUAGAAAACUGGGUGUAAGACACUGCCCCUAGAGUCAUGGACUUCCUUGACUGUCAGCCGCUUAUGUCAAUUUACUUAUCAGGCGACUACUCCAUCAAAGCCAUCUACUCUAAGUGAGAUCUUCGUAUCGACCCUUAUGAGGAAGGCACCUCGGUGGCCUAUACUAUGCGACCAUCGGUCUAGGCUAGCCAUAGUUUUAAAGGUUCUAAAAGGGGUCUUAGGGUCAUUGACUCUAGUAAAAGAAAAGAUGCUUACGCCUAAAGCACGACGGUCAUCAAUCCCCUUAAGAGAAUCUACCACUAAGUGAGAUUCUCGUACAACCCUAACGAGGAAGGCACCUCGCGGAUCAAUAUUACUCAACCUCUCCUAUCUCAAGCAAGCUCUCAGACUCGGGUGGAGAGUCCUUCACACAAGGUUUUUUCCUUUACAAUCAUUAUUGCCUUCAAAAUUCUUCGUCACAGAGUCAGGGUUUCAGACCAACAGGCGAACAAAGAAAAUAUGCACAGGUUAGCAAAGAAAGCAAUAUAUAUAGAAAAAAUAGAUAACAGAUAAAUCUUCACGUACGUAAAAGAGGAACAACCCAAACUAGGAUAGACUUGCUUAUGGAAUUUUGGUGUCCCCAGCAGAGUCGCCAGCUGUCACUACCGGGAUUUCACGAUAACGAAAUCGGGACUAAAGAGAUGCCAAAGAGAGGCAGAGUCAGAAGAGUCGCCACCGAAUUUUAUUUAGUUUACCUCUAUCGGAGAGGAGAGGGGAAAUAGUCGAUAAAACCCUCGGAAAAGAGACACGUACGGGAAGCGCUAAAAGAGAAUAAGGAAUCGGUCUCGCAUCCGAGAUUUGGGUUCGGAAGUCGGUUACGUAUGGGGAAGGUAUUAGCACCCCUUACGUCCAUGGUACUCCAUGGGAACCAUUUGGGUUGUUUAACAUACAUGGGAUUUAACUAUUAUCGUUUUAUUUUCAAAAUAAUGUGUGAAAAGAAGGGGUGUUUUUUUGUUAUUAUACUGCUCGCCAAGGAUUUGGACCCUUGUGCCUACGUAUCACUCAUUCAGGGAUGAGGAAUCAGAGCUCCGCAGUUCGGAGUAGAAAAUAUUUGUGUGUUGGUUGAUUUUACCUUUGAGAAAAGGGUUUUCAGGAUGAUGCCCUAAGGCACAAAAAUGAGUUUGAUGAGUUGUAUUGUUUUUACCUUGAAUAAGGGUUUUAUGAAAGAAUGUUGUUGUUAUUAUAUUGUACUAAAGUCUAUGGCGGAGGUGAUUAUUCUAGACAACAAGCCAAGCGUCUUGCGUCCAAAAUAAUCAGAGUAAGAGUAGGAAUGCUCCAGUCUCACUCAUUCUCCACCACUUAAGGCUCGUGGCGCACAAUAAUAGUCGUAAUUAUUAAGUUGUUUUGAAAUUUGAUUAUAAAAUGUCACUUGACGUUGAAUCAAGGGUUGUUUUAUUUAAUUGAAAUUUGGCUUAUGCCGACAUGAAUGCAAAGUAACCAACAAUAAAUUAAAGAGUCUCAUUGUAGGUAGCGCAGAGAAAGCCUUUUGUGUGCAAAAGUGACCUAAGCUAAACAAAGGAUAAUGGUCUUACAAACAUGUCCCCCUAAGGUGGUGCCAUGAUGCCAUUCUUACAACAUGCAUGUAAGUUACGGAUGAAAAUCCAAGUGCUUACAAAGUAUCACAAAGAGUAAUGAAAAAGCCUCCAAGCAAGGUCCUAAGAUGAAAUCUCUAAGUCCAAGUUGAUUAAGAGUGGAGUGAAUAUUUUGUCUUUAUCAUUUUAUCAUGUUUUUGUUAUUUUUAAUGUAUGAUGACAAUAAAAUAAAUAACAAGUAAAUAAAUAUGCAUGAUGAGUUUGUACAAUGAUGAUGAUAAUGAGUACUUGAAUGUAAAUUACAGGUAAUGACAUAAAAGUAAUCUAAGAUAAAGAAUGACAAUAUCACAAUAAUAAUGGUUAGUGAAUGUAAAUGAACAAUAAAAUAAAUUGCAAGGAAGUAAAGUGCAAUAAUGUAAAUGUUAGGAGUUAGUAGUUAGUGGUUAGUGGUUAGUAGAAUAACAAUAAGCAAAUAGACUAACAAGUUAAUGUAAAGAAAAUGGUUGCAUCUAUGUAUAAAAUGACCCAAACAUGGUUGAAAUAGAGGCAACCUAUCAAUGCCUCAAAGUAUCAUGAAGGAUCUAUUGAUCAAUCAUUAAUAGGUUUGAAAUAUUGAAGGUUUUAUCAACUCUAAACAACCAUGGCCAUGAUUUAAUAGAUCUCAUCAACCAAAUAAAUGUAAUAACAAGUCAACAAUAAAUAUUAAAUGAUAACAAGAAACAAUGUAAAGGAAAUGGUUUCAUCUAUGUAUCAAAUGACCCAAACAUGAUUGAAAUAGAGGCAACCUAUCAAUGCCUCAAAGUAUCAUGAAGGAUCUAUUGAUCAAUCAUUAAUAGGUUUGAAACAUUUAAGGUUUUAUCAACUCUAAACAACCAUAGUCAUGAUCUAAUAGAUCUCGUCAACCAAAUAAAUGUAAAUGAUAACAAGAAACAAAGUUUGAUUGAAAAUGGUGAAUAAAAAGUAGUAAGAGCAAAAAAAUCCCCAAAAGGGUGUAAACCCAACAAAAACCACUUGUCUCAAAGUUGACUCAAAUAUCUCUCAAAAAACCCAAGAGUAAAAAUCCAUUUUCAAACACAAAACAAAACCAAAAAUAUCAAGGAGUUUGAGUCCAAAAUAUUACCAAGAUUGUGGUGUCAAAACUAGGUUGUUGUUUGUUGUUUGGGGUUUGAGAAUGAAGCCAAAAGCUUGGAAGAGGGUGGUUUAUGUUUUUGUGGUAGAAAAGUGGGAGGGAAGAAAGUUGUAUGUUUAUGUGGUGGUGGUGAAUGAUUAUGUAAGUGAAGGUUACAAGUUUGCUACUAUUUUUUGUUGUGUGGAGAUGGUGGAUUUUUUACAUGGUGUUGGGUGGUUCAAAGGAGAAAAGAGGGUUUGGGUGAGUUAGGGUUUAGGUUGAAAAGAGGGAGCUUGAAUGUGAUUUGGACAGAGGUUUGUGGCUUUCAAGCUUCUUGAAAAAUGAGUGGGGAUAGUGCUCUAUUUAUAGGGGAAGCAAAGGGGUUGAAGUGGGUGAAUGAAAAGGUCCCCUGGGUAAAAAACAGAGCUUUUUCUGCUGUCUGCGCAGGUGUAAUCGGUUACCCUGAUUAGGGUAAUCGGUUACACAGUCCCAAAAUGGCCAAAACAUCAGUUUUUGGUCUGGGUAAUCGGUUACCCUAAUUAGGGUAACCGGUUACCCAAUUUUUUUUUUGAAAUAAUGAAUGUAUGCAUGUGCAGUAGGGUCAUGGAUCAGAUGAAAAUUGUAUCGGAGUAGGGUGAAUUUUGGGGUAUGACACUCAUUUCUCCCCAGCCAUUGUUAGGAUUGUCUUUGUCAGAUUUCGGAACUUCCCAGUAGUUGUUGAAGAUCUUCCUCAAUAGAGUCAGGUAUUCCAGUCAUUGCUAGGAAUUGUCACUGAACUAUUUUGUUUCCCCGUGAGUCGGACAUUCCAUCCAUUGCUAGGAGUCAUCACCUUCAAAUACUCCCCUUCUGGAGUUGGGUAUUCUGACCGUUGAUAUGAAUCAUCACUGAACUUUCGUCCAUCCCCAUCCAGAGUCAGGUAUUCCAACCAUUGUGAGGAAUCAUCACUUAACUAUUUGGUUUCCCCUAGCAUGCAUCAGGUAUUCCAGCUGUUGCUAGAAAUCAUCGUUGAACUUAUUUUUUCUCCAGCCGAGUCAGGUAUUCUAGUCAUUGCUAGGAAUCAUCGAUGGACUUCUUUUCCCCCUUAGAGUCAGGUAUUCCUGUCAUUGCUAGGAAUCAUUACUGAACUUUUUUUCUCUCCAGCAGAGUCAGGUAUUCUAGCCAUUUCUAGGAAUCAUCACUGAACCUGGAGAUUAUCCCCACAAAGUCAGAUAUUCUAGUCGUUGCUAGGAAUCAUCGUUGAACUUAAAGAUAUCCCCAAUAGAUGUUUGGUAUUCCAGCUGUUGCUAGGAAUCGUCACUGAAUCUAAAUCUCCCAUCAGAGUCAGGUAUUCUGGUCGUUGCUAGGAAUAAUCGCUGAACUUUUUUCCUCCCCAGAUGUUGCUAGGGGUAGUCACCUCUUUUAUAUAAGAACUUAUCCCCAAAGAAGUUGUUUUCUUUUCCCCACUUUCCUUCUUGGAGUAUUAUCAUCAAAUUUUCCUCCUUUAAGAGAUCCUUAUGUUUCAUAACAUACAUUACAUUGCAUAUCAUAAUCAUCAUAACCAUCUUCUCCCUAGUAAAGUCCCCAAAUAUCACAUUCAUUUCCCCAAGCAGAUGAACUCAUAUCAAGGUCAUUUGCCAUCCUGUAAACAUUGUCCCACAUAUAAUCCCAAACAAAUCAAUUAUAUCACUUUAACCCCCAGUAGGGCAAAUUUUUGGUUACUCUUUUAGUAUUUAAUACUCUUCUACCUUGAAAGCACUGGAAGUUGUUGAUAUCCAUACAUUCAGGUCCGAGAAGAUUAAAUAGGGACAACUGUCAUACCCUCAAAUUCACCAUACCCUCAUAUAAUCUCCAUAACCAUAAUUCAUGAGCAUGUAUCCCUCAUAUAUCAUCUCAUAUGCAUCUACACUUAUAAUAUCCACAAACUCAAGGCAUGGGGUUCAUCUAUGAAGCUUUAAGAUCCCUUGAUCAUGUUGAGGUAUGUCCAAGCCACCUUAACCCUAAUCAUCAUCCUCAAACAUCCCUGAACCUUGGAGAAUCAUUCAGCUCAUCUCAAUCACUCUCCAAAACCCUAAUUGGAUGGUGAGCCCUCAUUGAAGACAUGUGAAGAUUCAUCUGGUCACCCAAGGACCUCAACCCUAGUUCUUGAUCCUCAAUGGCUUGUACAAGUCCUCAUUCACUUUGUGUCUUGGCCAUACCAUUGUGGACCCCUAAUAUCCAAACUUUGUUUAUGCCACAACCAUGUGAAUCACCUCAAUACACCUCUUGCACCCCCCAAACCCUAAUUUUUAUGGCUAUGGCUCUUGAUGAAACUUGUGGUCCAAGAAACCCUAAUUUGUGCAAUCCUUUGAUUUUAUUCCUUGACUCACUUGAUCAUCCCAUCAUUCAACACUUCAUUAACCUUCAAUUCAAGUCACUUUCCACCAUAAUUCAUCAAGAAAACACCCAUCAUGGUAACUUAAAAAUCAAGAAAUCAUAUGAGCUUCAAACAUCCAUCAUGGUACCUUAAAAAUCAAGAAAUCCCAAAAUGACAUUUCUAGGUCAUGUUGGUUGGUCACAUUUUGGCAAAAUUGGCCUACCAUUUAGUCCAAACCCCAUAACUUCUUCACCUUUCAAGAUCUUAUUUGAGAUAAACUUCCUAAUUGAAUUCCUCUUCAACUUUUUUUCAAGGUCCAAGACCUAAUUCAUUGAGAAAGGACCUCAAUUUUUGGUUUGGCCAAGCUAGUCAAGAUGCCUAGCCAGACCUAGAAUCAUGCCCAUGACCUCCACUUUUCCUCAAUGCCAUUUUAAAACCACAACUCCUUUUGACCUGGUUAUUUUUGCAUAUGAUUAAGGGAAUGGCAAAGAGCAAUUGGAAUAAGUUUCAUGCAAAAUGCACGAGCCAAUUUUAUUUGGCCCAAGCUCAAAGUUGGUGAUUUGCCAUGGUGCACAUAUCAUAUCACACUUAACUAGAAUUUGCAUAUUGAUGUUUUAAGCCAUUAAACUCAUGUGUUCUUAUCCCUUUUGACCCAAGACAUGUUACAUAACAUUGUGUGACAUGUUUACAAGUCAACUUGAGUGGAAAUGAGUCACAUGGAGGCAAACCCGAGCCAAUGUCAAAAGGUGAAAAAUUUCCCAAAUUGGCAAAAAGCAAAAACCAUAGCAACUUUGAUCAAAGUCCCUUGCUUCACCUAUAUGAUGUUAAGGUGCAAAACCAACUGAGUUGAAGUGCAAACCAAGUCAGAAGCACAACAAUACUUCCUCCACAAGUCUCACUUUGUCAUGUUUCGAGCCUCACCCCUUUUCUGAGCAAACCUCUUUCAUUCUCCCUGCAAAACAUCCAAACACCUUCCCUAUAAAUAAAGGAAGGUGUUCCAUCAAUUCACUAAGCUUUUCAAGCCAAGAAAACUCUGCUUCGAAACCACAUUUUACCUUCAAAAACAGAGAUUUGGUUUUGAAUUUUUGAUUCAUUUCAACCUAAGAUAACGAUCUAGAAACCUUCAUAAAACCUCCCUCAAACUUUAUGAAACAUUAACACCACCUACAACCACCCUCCCUGAGCUAUCCACACUCAUCGGAUUCCCCCUCUGAGAUUGAUUUCGACAAGGUAGUUGCACUCAUAAUUUUCACUCAAACAAGUUACUCUCUUGCUCAAAAUUCCUCACUGAUGCUUAACCCUAUGGUCUAAGUUCUGAUUAUCCAUUGUUCACCAUUUAAUUUAAUUUUUAGGUCAAGUUCCAUUUUGGAGUUCUUGAGAAAUACUCCACACUCAGAGCCAAUCAAUUUCUCAUGAGUAUGGAGAAGAUAACGACGAGGUGUGUGGAGGUUAAAUCCAUGGUUGAUUCCCUCCAAAGACACGAGUUUUGAAACCUGAAAUUUCAUGGGCUGAGGUUGAAAAUGACUCAGUGGUCGUUACCUCGCGCGUUCUCAAAUUUGAAAAUAUUAUGUGUCUGCUUCUGAUUGGAUGUUGUGCGCGCGUGUUUUAUUUUAAUGUUUGACUGAAUAUAUUAUUUGUUGAGCAUUUUUAGUAGUCACCACAAGGCGCUUGGCCAAGUGGAUAGGGGUUGACCCCAAGGUCAGGGGUUCAACCACCAGCGCUCCCCAUGUUAUUUUAUCCUUUUUUCUUUCUUUUGUUUUAUUUUCUUAUUUUUAACUAUUUUCUUUCAUUUUUAUUUUAAUUAUUUCACCUCUUGUUUUUAUUCUGAUCAAAAUAUUUUCUAAACAUACUUUAGUUAUUUUUUCCCCUUUUAUUUUAUCCCACCCUAUGUUUAUUUUAUUUUGACUUAUUUUGUUGACUUUUCAUGUCUUGAUUGAUGGUGGUUGAUGAAAUUUAUUUGGUCAUUGAUUUGGUUUUUUUAGGGUUGAUAAAACCUCCAAUGCUUCAAAUCUAUCAAUGAAUGAUCAAUGGAUUAUUCAUGAUAUUUUAAGGUAUUGAUAAGUUGCCUCUAUUUAACCAUACUUAAGUCAUUUGAUGCAUAGAUAAAGCCAUGUUUGUGUUUCUAACUUGUUGAUCCAUUUGACUUGUUUUGUUUCCAUAAACUACUAACCCUUUAACUCUUAUGUUUCAUUACUUGACUUAAUCAUCAUUCACUUGUUAACUUGUAAUCAUUGAGUAAUACAAUCUUCCAUUUGUUAAAUCAUUGAUGGAUGGACUUGGGGUUGUAUAACUUUCAUUGUUUCAAAUCUAUUGUUAGAUGAUCAUGGAUCAUAUUCAAUACUUUGCAAUCAAUGAUAAGUUAUACCUUGAUGCACCAUAUUUUGAGUCCUUUGACCUAUGGAUAGAUAAUCCUUAAAUGUUUACUUUGUACAUUUAACUAAUCACUGACUAUACAUCACUAACUUUGAUACUGUUAACCAUUAUUAUUGUGAAUCUUGUUUAUCAUCUUGUGAUUUACUUUAUGCCAAUUAUAUUGCAUUGUAAUUUACUUCCAAGUAUUCAUCAUCAUCAUCAUCAUUAUUGUAUAUACUCCUCGUGCAUGUUUAUUAUUGUUAUGUAAUUAUUAUCAUCAUACAAUAAAAAACAACAAAAACAUGAUAAAAUUAUAAGACCAAAAAGAUGUAUUUCACUUGUAAUCAAUCAUUGGACUUAGAGGAUUCAUUUAGGACCCUUUCUUGGAGACCUUGCCCUAAUAUUUUGACAUUUUUCCUUAACCUUGUAUUUCAUCGGUAACUUAUAAUCCUAUUGUAAGGAUGGUAUCAGGGUACUUCCCUAGGGAGACAUGACUGUAAGACCAUUAUCCACUUGUUAGCUUAGGUAACUUUUACACACACAAAGUUUUCUCUUGGGCUACCUUACAAUGAGACCCUUUACUUUCUUGUUUGGUUACUUUGUAAAUUCACUAUAUGUCACCAUUUUCAUAAUCAAAGCAAUAAACCCUUGAUCCAACGUCAAACGGCAUUUUCAUAAUCAAACUCAAAAAAUAAUAAAACUAUGGUUAGUAUUGUGCGCCACGAGCCUUAAGUGGUGGGUAAUGAGUAAGGAUGGAGCUCUCAUACCCAUACUUUGAUUAUUUUGGAAACAAGACGCUUGGCUUGUUUGUCUAGAAUAUUCGUCUCCGCCCAUAUACUUUAGUGCAAUCUAAUCAUAAACACUCUUUUCAUAAACCCUUUUUCAAGGUAAAACCAACAUCAAUCCAUCAAACUCAUUUUUGUGCCUUAAGGCACCACACUGAAAACCCUUUUCUCAAAGGUAAAAUUAACCAACCUACAAACAUUUUCUACUCCGAGUUAUAGAGCUCUGAUUCUUCACCAUCCAAUAAAUGAUACGUAGGCACAAGGGCCAUAAUCCUUGGCGAGCACAAUAAUAAAAAGCCCAAAUAUCAUUCUUUCACACUCUUUUUGAAAAUAAAGUAAAUAAAUAGAUAAAUACCCAUACACGCAAACAACUUAAAUGGUACCCAUGGAGUACCAUGGAAAUGAAGGAUGCUAAUUGUCGCACCUCGAAAAAUGCGAUCCCUCACGAUGGACGCGGAAAAAUUGUUGUUCGAACAGAGUCGUCACCGAACUUUAUUUAUUCCAAUGAAGGAAUAGGAAAAUAUCGAUAAAACCUUUAGGAAAAUGGAAUAAUGGUCGUUGCAACCAUACUCGGGUUCGGGAGUCGAUUACGCAAGGGGAAGGUAUUAGCACCCCUCAUGUUCGUUGUACUCAACGGGAACCUUUUAGUCCAAUCUGCUAUUUGGAUGUUAGUUGAACGUUAUUCGCUUUCUUCGAGUAAUUAUAAUUGAUAAUAGAGAUGGGUGAAGACCUCAAAAGGGGGAAAGGGAGGUUUUUUAUUAGUGUGCUCGCGAAGAUACAACAAUAUCCUGCCUACAUAUCCUUAUCGUGCAAUAAGGAAAUCAGAGCAUUCGUAGUUCGGAAAACUACGGUUGGUUGGUGCUUUUUAAUGAACGAUUGUGUAGAUCGUGUUCUAAAGGCUAAACAUUGGCUUGUCUACUCUCGGCGGAGGCUUAAUCACUAGUUUGUUGGUCGGUGCUUUUUAAUGAACGACUGUGCGCAUUAGAAAGGAUUAAACAGUGUUCUUUUUUUAAAAGGGUUUUGGUCACACGAGGGUGACAACUUUAAUUGAUACGUUUGAUAUUUUAUUUGUUUGUUUUGAUCGCACGGGGGCGAGAAAUUGGGUUUGAUAUGUUUGAGAUAUUUUUGAAGAAUGACAAAAGAUUGAGCAAUGUGGUACGCACCAAUCGUUCAAUUCUUUUGAGGACUAAUAAGGCGAACGCCUUCUACUCCUUUUUCGUUCGAAUUAUUAUUGAAAGUUUGUUCGCGGACUUUGAAUAUAGAUGGUAGUAAGGCGUACGCCUCCUACUUGCUUAUUCUAGGAACAAUAAGGCGCACACCACUCAUUCCUUUAUCCAAGUUUAUUUAGCGUGUCUUAAUCGGAAGUCAAAAGGAAAUCGAGCGAUAUGGCGAGCGCCAAUCAUUCAAUUAUUCGGGAAAUGGUGAGGUGAACGCCUCCCAUUCUUUUAUCAUCCGAAAUUUAAUUUAUAAAAAUAAAGUUUUUUAUAGAAGUUAUAUUUGAUAUAGUAAAAUAAUUUUGGAAUUUACACGAUUAAGGUUUUAAUCCGAUGACAAAGAUUCGAGCAAUAUGGCGUGCGCCAAUCGUUCGAGUAAUUGAGAAAUAGUGAAGCGAACACUUCCUAUAUCCUUUUCAUCUAAAUUUUAAAUUAUAUUUAAAAAAAUAUUCUUAAGUAUCAUAUCAAUUUAGAAAAAUUAUUUGAAGUUCGUACGAUUAAUGUCUUGAUUGGACGACGAGAAUUCAAGCAAUAUGGUGAACGCCUAUUAUUCGAAUACUCGAGAGAUAGUGAAGCGUGCGCUUAUUAUACUCUUUUUCGUCCAAAGCAAAAAAAAUUGGAAGCAUGUAGAUAAAAGGUUUUGAAUUAUAGAAUUGAUAGGAUUUGGGGACGAUUACUCAGUGUUUGAUCAACGACUCAUCUUAAAUGGGGAGCAAAUAACUAUCAUAUUCAUCCAUGCUUAAUUAACCAUUCACUUGAUCAUAUUCUAAUACGAGGACAAACUUAUGAAUUCAAAAAGAAGGAUAAAAUAAAUAAUUAAGGUUGAAACAAUAAUAUAUCUUACUACUAAUAUCAUCAUAUUUUAUUAAUUACAUACUAAGAUCAAAAUAUGAAAUAAAUAAUAAUAAUAAAGAUAAGGCCAGUGAUGACACUGAAUUUCACCGUAUUUUCGACUCCGAUUUCGUAUGCAUUUUAGUUGUUUUAUUACUAUUUUGUUAUGUUAUUACUAUGUUUUCUGUGUUUUCAGGUUUUCAGUCUAAUCAGAGCCCCGAUCGAGAAAAGGAGUGAAAAUGAGCUAAAGAGCCUAAAAAUCAGCAUUUUACACUUGUGGCUCCCACUGUGGCUGGCGCCAUGGGUGCAACCAUGACGUGUCAUAGUCCAACUUCCCCUCAACUGCCACGUCUCCCACUAUCUCCAUUUGGGCGCCACACUUUACUCUUAUGGCGGGCGCCAUGGUGUUGUAGCAGGCGCCACAAGAAGAAAGAUGUUUCCCUCCCAAAUUCAAACUGAAGGGCAUCCUUGUCAUUUCCAUUAUUUUCCUUGCUUAUAAAUAGAGACUCGAUUUCAUUUGUUUCAUCAUCCAAACUUAGAUCAAACUUAGUUACAACUAGGCAUAUAUUAAGUAUUGUAAAAGUGGUAAUCACUUCACAUCGAGUGUUGCCACAACUGUGUAAUCGAGUUUGGAGCACUUUGGAAGGAAGUUAAUCCUGCCGCCAUUUUCAUUUCCGUUUCGCACUUUAUUCAACCCUCCGAUUGGAGCAGGUUUUAUUGCUUUACCUUUGCCUACUUUUAUUUAUUUCCCGCACUGCCUUUAUUUCGUUUAUUUCUCGCACUCGCACUACUUCCGUUUAUUUCUCGCACUCGCACUACUUUCGUUUAUUUCUCGCACUCGCACUACUUUCGUUUAUUUCUUGCACUCGCACUACUUUUAUUUACUUUCCGCACUCGCACUACUUUUAUUUAUUUCUCUCACUCGCACUACUUUCAUUUAUUUCUCGCAUUCGCACUACUUUUAUUUACUUUCGCCACUCGCACUACUUUUAUUUAAAUUAAAAUGCACCUUUACCUUAGUAUGUCUAGCUAAACCUAUAAAGGUUAGAAUGUAAGGAUCGUAAUUGAACUGAUAAUCCGUCAAUUGUUCGUAGAAACACUUAAGGGUUAUUUUGACUUUCAACUUUAGUUUUCCCGCACUUAAUUUCCAUUGGGUAAGAUCGAAAGCCGUCCAACGUCCUAAUAAACUUAGUUGUUUUAACUAUUUCAAAUACAGCAAAAGCGCUUUGUUUAGUUCAUUAGGAGUUUUUAACUUAAAAGGAAAAGUGAUUUUAAAACUAUUUUCGGACGCGUUUAUAAGUUUAGAGUCUGGUUCGUGAGAACCUUUUUGGUUAAGAAACCCAGGUCAAAAUACUUUUCAACUUAGUCAAGAUACUAUAUUUCUUAAAAAUAGGUUUACUACUCUAACGACAUGCGUUCCUUUUUAUAAGUGACAAUAAGAGGGUUUGAUUAGGAGUACAACUCGGUUCUGAAUUCGCGAACGACAGUUCCUGUUAAAUUGGUUCUUUCAAAGUAGGAAACACUGCCCAUUAAGUAAUUCUAUUAGCAAGCACUUGGAUUAUUAAUUGAUUAUGUGAAUUACAUUCGAACCUGUCUUUAUUAAUUGAAUUUUAUUUAAUACUUUAUUUUUCAUUGUACACUCUAAAAACCCCUAUUUCGAUUACCUUAGAUAAACAUCGUAACAAUAGAUAACGAUAGAUUGACAUUUGGUCUAUGUGGAUUCGACAAUCUUUUAUAUUACUCUGACGCGUUCGUAUACUUGUGAAAAACACGCAUCAAGUUUUUGGCGCCGUUAACGGGGACAAAUCUCGUCAAAUUUCGUACCCUGUUGUUGUAUCGUUUAGACUUAGGUUGUUACCUGCCGGUCAAUGCGAAGAACUCGCAGCACUGGAAGCUUAGUAUAUCCUCUGGAGGAACCUGAACGUUACACUCGCGCACGUUUAUUUUUCCAUAGAAUUAGGAGAGUUAUGGCCGAAGAUCAAAAUCAUAGACCUCUUAAGGAUUUCGCCCAACCAUCCAACGAAGAACCUAGUUCUAGUAUAGUAAACCCAACCAUCCCAGCGAAUAAUUUCGAACUUAAACCCUCCCUGUUGCAACUAGUGCAACAGAGACAAUUCGCAGGUCUCGCUACUGAGAACCCAAACCAACAUUUAAAAAUCUUUCUCCAAUUAGCAGACACUUCUAAAACCAAUGGAGCUUCUCCUGAGGCAAUCCAUUUAAGAUUAUUCCCUUUCUCCCUCAGAGAUAAAGCCCUAUCAUGGUUAUAUUCCCUUCCACCUAAUUCCAUUACAACUUGGGACAACCUUAGAAAAGUAUUCCUUGCUAGAUACUUUCCCCCAAGUAAGACUGCCGUUCUUCGAAACCAUAUAACAAGAUUUACCCAGAAUCAAGGAGAAUCGUUGUUCGAAGCUUAGGAGAGAUAUAAAGAGCUGUUAAGAGCAUGCCCACAUCAUGGCUUAGAAAAUUGGUUAAUCAUUCAGACCUUCUAUAAUGGACUUCACUAUAACACUAAGAUGACCAUCGACGCUGCCACAGGCGGUGCACUGAUGAACAAACCUUAUCCUGAAGCUAGUGCCCUCAUCGAAGAUAUGGCUCAAAACCAUCAAUCAUGGGGAAUUGAACGAGCGACAAUUGAGAAGAAGUAAGCCCAAGGAUGAGUACAUGAGUUAAGCUCUAUAGACAUGAUACAAGCUAAAAUGGAUGCAUUGGUACUCAAGGUCGAGCAUAUGUGCAUAAACCCGAAUACUGCAGCUGCAGUUUCGUCAGAUUGUGAGAUAUGUGGAACCAAAGGACACUAAUCUGCAUAAUGCAAUCUCUUAAACAAAACCCACUCUGAGCAAGUGAACUACACCCAAGGGAACCCAUAUUCAAACACCUACAACCCUGGAUGGAGGAAUCACCCGAACUUCUCCUAUAAGAACAAUAACCCUAUCCAAAAUAAUGUGCCUCCGAGACAACCAAGUUACCAAGCCCCAAGACCAAAUCAACCUAUGCAACCUGUGCCACCAAAGCCGAGCCUUGAGAAAAUUAUGGAAAAUUUUAUCACUGCUCAAACCCAACAAAACAAAGUCAAGUACUUGGUCUUGUAUCACGUUAAUGAACUGAUUACCCAGUUAGGAACCAAGGUUGACCAAAUAGUUACUCAUACUAAGAUGCUUGAAACCCAGAUCUCUCAGGUAGCUUUAAACCAAGCCCCUCAGACCACACCUGGAGGACAGUUCCCUAGACAACCUCAACAGAAUCCGAGAGGACAAGCCAAUGCCAUUACCCUACGAAGUGGGACCGCUUAUGAUGAGCCACUUAACUCAAUAUUGAGUGAAACCAAAACUUCUAAGGAAUAUACCGAACCCAUGGACAAAGUAAAGGAACCAGAGGAAUCUGAAAAACAGGAAGGUCAAGAAAAAGGAGAAGAACCUAAAGAUAAAACUUAUGUAUCACCCCUGCCAUAUAAACCACCGAUACCAUAUCUGCAAAGACUCAAACAAACCCAGAUCAAUAACCAGUAUCAGAAAUUUAUUAAGGUUAUAGAAAAACUUCACGUAGAAAUCCCUUUCACAGAAGCCAUUACCCAAAUACCUUCUUAUGCAAAGUUUUUCAAAGACAUCCUUACCAACAAAUGUAGACUCGACGAUCCGAAGCCCUUGGAAUGCAAUUCUAUUUUCGAGAAUAAGUUAGCCAAAAAGGAUAAAGAUCCUGGAAAUUUCUCCAUUCCUUGUCUUUUGGGACGUCAUGUCAUCGAAAAAGCUUUUCUAAACUUAGGAGCUAGUGUGAGCUUAAUGCCUUUAGCAGCUUGUGAGAGGUUAAACUUAGGAGAAUUACAACCUACUAAGAUGUCACUUCAGUUAGCCGAUAGAUCUGUUAAGUAUCCGAUAGGCAUAUUAGAAGACGUCCCUAUUAGGAUAGGUCAGUUAUUUAUCCCUACUGAUUUUGCUGUCAUGGACAUCAAAGAGGACAAUGAUAUACCAAUCCUUCUAGGUAGACCGUUCUUAUCAACUGCAGGAGCCAUAAUAGAUGUCAUCUCUCCUUUCAACUGGAAACUCCAUCCACUGCUCUUUUAUGAAUUUAUACUUUCAAAAUUUCUUAUGGCACCUGUGAUGGGAGACGCAUGUUAUGCCAUAGAUAUCAUUGAUGAAUGCGUUAGGGAGAUAGAACAAGAAGAAAUCAUAAAAACGAUUAAGUUGCCAUCAACCCUCGUACUGGAAGAUGAUGACUUUAGGAAACCCUACAUCGAUGAUAACCUUUACGAAUGUUUAUCCCUUACCCCAGAUCCUAUGCCAUGCCCUAAGAAAUCAACCUUAGAACUUAAGGAACUGCCUAAGAACCUGAGAUAUGAGCUCCUCGAUGAAGAGAUGAACCGUCCAGUUAUAGUCAGUGCUACCUUGAGCCAAGAGGAAACAGGCCAACUCUUAGAUGCUUUACAAAGAUAUCCCUCAGCCUUAGGAUAUAAUAUCUCUGAUCUGAAAGGUAUAAGCCCUUCCGUAUGCAUGCAUCGGAUUUCGCUCGAAGAAGAUUCAAAGCCCUCCAGAGAACAUCAGAGAAGAAUAAACCCUAUAAUGAGUGAUGUUGUUAAAAAAGAAGUUCUUAAGUUACUUGAGGCAGGUCUAAUCUAUCAGAUCUCAGAUAGUAAGUGGGUGAGCCCUGUGCAUGUAGUACCUAAAAAGGGAGGCAUCACAGUAGUGCAAAACGAUAAAGGCGAACAUGUAGCAAAACGAAUGGAAGGAGGAUGGCGGAUGUGCAUAGACUACAGAAAGUUAAAUAAAGAAACCAGGAAGGAUCAUUUCCCUUUACCAUUUAUAGACCAGAUGUUGGAGCGUCUAGCCAGACACUCUUACGUCUGCUAUCUAGACGGAUACUCUGGAUUCUUCCUAAUAUCUAUCCACCCUGAAGAUCAAGAAAAAACUACCUUUACAUGCCCUUAUGGAACUUUUGCCUACAGACGAAUGCCAUUCGGUCUCUGUAACGCCCCAACUACUUUCCAAUGCUGCAUGAUGUCAAUCUUUGCAGAUUAACUAGAUGGUAUCAUGGAAGUAUUUAUGGAUGAUUUCUCGGUUUGCGGAUUUGAUGUCAAAAAUUGUCUUGCUAACCUUGAGAAAAUCCUGGAGAGAUGCGUGGAGGUGAACCUCGUGCUAAAAUGGGAAGUGUCAUUUCAUGGUCACCGAAGGGAUUGUUUUAGGACAUAUAGUUUCCGAAAAAGGUAUUGAGGUAGAUAGAGCUAAGAUAGAAGUAAUAAAGAAUCUAAAACCACCCAAAACUAUCAGAGAAGUCUGAAGUUUCCUUAGACAUGCUGGUUACUACCAGCGUUUUAUCAAGGACUUCUCUAAAAUAACUAAACCUUUAACUGGCCUUUUAAUGAAAGAUGCUGAAUUCAUUUUCGAUGGAAAAUGUAAUGAAGCAUUAUUAGAAAAUUUCGUUCGAAAUUAUAGUCGUGGAUAAUACGUUCCCCCUGAUUGGUCAGAACCUUUUGAGAUAAUGUGCGACGCUAGUGAUUAUGCCGUUGGAGUCGUUCUAGGACAAAGGAAAGAUAAAAAAUUACAUGUGAUUUAUUAUGCCAGUAGAACCCUAGACGCUGCCCAACUUAACUAUGCAACAACUGAAAAGGAAUUACUCGCUGUAGUCUUCGCUAUAGACAAAUUUAGAUCUUAUCUAGUAGGAGCCAAAAUUAUAGUUUACACCGAUCAUGCUGCCAUUCAUUACCUAUUGAGUAAAAAAGAUGCCAAGCCCAGGUUACUCCGAUGGAUUAUGUUACUACAAGAGUUUGAUUUAGAUAUCAGAGAUAAAAAAAAGGCACAGAAAAUGUAGUAGUUGAUCACCUCUCUAGGCUAGAACAUCUGAAACCUAACUUAAUACCCAUAAGUGAUGAUUUUGCCUAUGAUAGACUGAUAGCUAGACUAGAAGCCAUUGAAGACAAUAGCCUAGGCCCUCAUAAGCACUUCCAAAAAUCCUUAGCUGUAAGUAACGUGCCAUGGUAUGUGUAAGACCCUAAUUUUGUCCCUAAGAUCCCUCAUGGCAUCAUAACAUUGCAUUUGCAUUGCCUCAAGGAUCAUUAGCAUCUUGGUUCCCUUUGCCUUUGGGAGGGACUUCUUGUGAGUGGUUUGAGAAAGACCCUAAUUUUGUCCCUAAGAUCCCUCAUGGCAUCAUAACAUUGCAUUUGCAUUGCCUCAAGGAUCAUUAGCAUCUUGGUUCCCUUUGCCUUUGGGAGGGACUUCUUGUGAGUGGUUUGAGAUCUCUAAGCAUGCUUGAAUUGUAUAUCAUUGCUUUUCUUAUUUUGUUUACUAACUAAAAGCACAAAAAUAUGUCACUAACAUCUUUUGCUUGUAGCUUGAGCAAUCACCAGGUCAAGAACUUCAAGGAGAUCCUUUGUGCCGUAAUAAGGUCAGGAGAAGAUGAUAGCAAGCAUGGUAAUGGUUCCCAAAGCUCUCAUCCAUCAAAUAUGCCUCCCUAGCAUCUCAAUUCAUCAUUUUGAUCAAAGCAAGUCAAAGGGUUUGAGGUUUGUGCCCCCAAGGAAACCCUAAUUCAUCUGUGCACCACAAUGCCUUGCUCUUGAAGCAACCUCAGCCCAUGAUCAAAUACAAUCAAGGGAAGUUCUUUAAUUCAUCAUUUCAUGCAUAUUUGAACUUAUUUACUUGAAGCAACCUCAGCCCAUGAUCAAAUACAAUCAAGGGAAGUUCUUUAAUUCAUCAUUUCAUGCAUAUUUGAACUUAUUUGAGUGUCCUCAAUCAUCAAUUCAUCAAGAUAUGAGUCAUGGACUUAGGAAGUUGAUCAGUCAAUUCAUCUGACUAUUUUGACAUGCUUUGAGACCUAACUUUUUAUGUGUUGGUCAAAUGGAGAUGGUUCCAAAGGAAAAAAUGUUCUUAAGGACAAUAUGAACAACUUUCAUGUUCAUCAAAAAUUUAUUUGAAGCUUGGAAGGCCAUCUACCAUUCCAAUACAUUAUAGGUCAUUUUGACUGAAAUCCUAAUUUUGCGUCAACUUCCCAAGGACAUAAAUCAUUAAUUUUUUAUGAUUUGGAGGUGGGAUCAAAUGAAUUGGAAAGCUUAAGAUGUCUACUUCAAAUGUUAUGUUGAACAAAAUUUCAAAAUCUCAAAGGAAAUACAUAUGAUAAUGCAAGACAUUAUAGGUCCUUUUGGGUCAAAUGCAUUAAAAGGCAAAAAGUCCAACUUCAAGUGCCCAUAACUCUUUCAUCAAAAAUCCAAAUGAUUCACAAUUUAAGUCCUUUUUGAUUGUCUUGAGAAUAUCUAUAACUUUGAUGUUGGAGGGUUUUCCAUUUGAGGCUUUCAUCAUCAAAACAGAGGGGCUUGAACAUUGGCCAAAUUUGGAAACCUUGCCUUGACAUGUUUUGCACAUUACACUUUAAACUCCAAUUUCACCAAUUUCCACACUUCAAAUGGAUUUUUGCCCAACAUAACAAUUGUUCCUUACAUCAAGACCUUUCCAACCAUUACCCACAUGCUUAUGUUUGGAUUUUCUAAUUGGCAUUUUCGAAGAGGUGAAUGUUUAGGUUCAAUUAUGGAAUUCACAUCAUAACUUCAUGCACAAGCCAAUGCAGCUCUAAUCACACGUCCAAACCAUUGGCAUUUGAGUUCAACUUGCAUUUUCAUCCAUUUUUGGGCUUUACACGCUCCUGUACAGGCCCAUGCAUGAGAAGUCCAAGUUCCAUGCACACGAAUUUCUCCUUGCUUGCAUCAGCCUUGGCUAUAAAUAGCAUGCUCCAUUCUCUUCAAAAAUCAACCUAAUGGCGCCUGAGAUGCUGCACAACUAAAUCCAUAACCAUUACCAAAGAAGCUAUCUCACUUUCUUUCAAAUUUUUCAGAUCCAAAAUUCAACUACAUCUGGUUGAAUCCUUGGAUCUAAAGCUUCUAAACCUUCACCAUUUAGCUCAUUGAUCUUCUGUUUUGGCAAAGAAAGCAAAGAAUCAAGCUCAAAUUUCCAGAAUUCAAGUGUGCUCCUCAACUGGUAUUCUCUUCGAAACUCAUCAUAUAUUGAUCUAUUUGCCUGGCCAAAGUGUUUUCUGAAGUCCUCACUUGAGAGGCAAGCUAGUGGUAGCUUCAAUUUCAUUUUUCUUUGAUCUGCAUUUUUCAUACCUGAAUCUUCCACCUCAGAUUUCAUAACUUAUAGGAAUCUUGAGUGUGAUUCAAGGUUACAGGGGUGAUGCACAUCACCCCAACUUCAUUUUGGUAUAAGGAUCGUGCAAAUUGGUGAAGGUAUGAAAACCUGCAACUUUGGCCGGAAUUAUGAGGCUCACCGGAGAAGAAGGUGGCUCCGGUGGUCGUCCCAGUGCCAGAUCAAACCACAGCCCUUGGAUCUCAUGUGCACGAUCUAAUCUCAGCCUUUUUUUUAUUUGACUUUUUUAAAUACAUGGUGUGCACGCAUUGACUGAAGAGUAUGGUGGGAGCGCACAUCUGAAGCGCAUGAUCUGCCAGCUCAAUUAAUGAGCUCAGAUCUGACGCUCCUGGUUUUAUUGAAUUUCUAUUUUCUGAUCUAAUUUCUUUUAUUUCAUUUUAUUUCAAAAAUUCAUAUCUCUCUCAUUUUUAAUCCAAAAAUUAUGGGACCAAUUGCAUUAGUCUCCAAAUAAUUUCUAGUUUCUAUUUCUGAUUUUUAAUAUUUUUUAUUGUCAUUUGAUAUUUUUCAUGAAUUUUUUCUUUUCUGGUUGUUUUUAAUUCAUUUUAAAUAGUUUUUGAUAUUCAAAAAUACAAAAAUAUUUUCCUAACCUAUUUGAAUGAUGAUGGAUCUAUGAAAAAUAUUUUCAUCAAUUUUGUAAUUGAUUUGAGAUUUAUUUGAGAUUUUAGUUCAAUUAGGUUAUUUUUAUUCAUUUUUUAUUGAUUAAAAAUAGUUUCUGACUUUUAAAAAUGCUGAAUUUUUUUGUCAAACUUUGUUUGACCUUGUUGAACUUGGGAUAAAUUACUUGGACCUUUCAAGGUUGAUUUGAAGUAGUUUUGAAGUUUGACCUUUCUUUUAUUUUUAAUUCAAGUUUAUUUUAAUAUUAAAAAUGCCAAAAAUAUUAUGCUUAUUGUUUGAUCUCCAAUCUCCAUCUCAUUUCUGAUUUCUUAUUGUUUGACUUUGACUUUCAAUGUCAUUUAGUCAAUACAUAUGGAUUGGUACAUCUUAUUUCANNNNNNNNNNNNNNNNNNNNNNNNNNNNNNNNNNNNNNNNNNNNNNNNNNNNNNNNNNNNNNNNNNNNNNNNNNNNNNNNNNNNNNNNNNNNNNNNNNNNNNNNNNNNNNNNNNNNNNNNNNNNNNNNNNNNNNNNNNNNNNNNNNNNNNNNNNNNNNNNNNNNNNNNNNNNNNNNNNNNNNNNNNNNNNNNNNNNNNNNNNNNNNNNNNNNNNNNNNNNNNNNNNNNNNNNNNNNNNNNNNNNNNNNNNNNNNNNNNNNNNNNNNNNNNNNNNNNNNNNNNNNNNNNNNNNNNNNNNNNNNNNNNNNNNNNNNNNNNNNNNNNNNNNNNNNNNNNNNNNNNNNNNNNNNNNNNNNNNNNNNNNNNNNNNNNNNNNNNNNNNNNNNNNNNNNNNNNNNNNNNNNNNNNNNNNNNNNNNNNNNNNNNNNNNNNNNNNNNNNNNNNNNNNNNNNNNNNNNNNNNNNNNNNNNNNNNNNNNNNNNNNNNNNNNNNNNNNNNNNNNNNNNNNNNNNNNNNNNNNNNNNNNNNNNNNNNNNNNNNNNNNNNNNNNNNNNNNNNNNNNNNNNNNNNNNNNNNNNNNNNNNNNNNNNNNNNNNNNNNNNNNNNNNNNNNNNNNNNNNNNNNNNNNNNNNNNNNNNNNNNNNNNNNNNNNNNNNNNNNNNNNNNNNNNNNNNNNNNNNNNNNNNNNNNNNNNNNNNNNNNNNNNNNNNNNNNNNNNNNNNNNNNNNNNNNNNNNNNNNNNNNNNNNNNNNNNNNNNNNNNNNNNNNNNNNNNNNNNNNNNNNNNNNNNNNNNNNNNNNNNNNNNNNNNNNNNNNNNNNNNNNNNNNNNNNNNNNNNNNNNNNNNNNNNNNNNNNNNNNNNNNNNNNNNNNNNNNNNNNNNNNNNNNNNNNNNNNNNNNNNNNNNNNNNNNNNNNNNNNNNNNNNNNNNNNNNNNNNNNNNNNNNNNNNNNNNNNNNNNNNNNNNNNNNNNNNNNNNNNNNNNNNNNNNNNNNNNNNNNNNNNNNNNNNNNNNNNNNNNNNNNNNNNNNNNNNNNNNNNNNNNNNNNNNNNNNNNNNNNNNNNNNNNNNNNNNNNNNNNNNNNNNNNNNNNNNNNNNNNNNNNNNNNNNNNNNNNNNNNNNNNNNNNNNNNNNNNNNNNNNNNNNNNNNNNNNNNNNNNNNNNNNNNNNNNNNNNNNNNNNNNNNNNNNNNNNNNNNNNNNNNNNNNNNNNNNNNNNNNNNNNNNNNNNNNNNNNNNNNNNNNNNNNNNNNNNNNNNNNNNNNNNNNNNNNNNNNNNNNNNNNNNNNNNNNNNNNNNNNNNNNNNNNNNNNNNNNNNNNNNNNNNNNNNNNNNNNNNNNNNNNNNNNNNNNNNNNNNNNNNNNNNNNNNNNNNNNNNNNNNNNNNNNNNNNNNNNNNNNNNNNNNNNNNNNNNNNNNNNNNNNNNNNNNNNNNNNNNNNNNNNNNNNNNNNNNNNNNNNNNNNNNNNNNNNNNNNNNNNNNNNNNNNNNNNNNNNNNNNNNNNNNNNNNNNNNNNNNNNNNNNNNNNNNNNNNNNNNNNNNNNNNNNNNNNNNNNNNNNNNNNNNNNNNNNNNNNNNNNNNNNNNNNNNNNNNNNNNNNNNNNNNNNNNNNNNNNNNNNNNNNNNNNNNNNNNNNNNNNNNNNNNNNNNNNNNNNNNNNNNNNNNNNNNNNNNNNNNNNNNNNNNNNNNNNNNNNNNNNNNNNNNNNNNNNNNNNNNNNNNNNNNNNNNNNNNNNNNNNNNNNNNNNNNNNNNNNNNNNNNNNNNNNNNNNNNNNNNNNNNNNNNNNNNNNNNNNNNNNNNNNNNNNNNNNNNNNNNNNNNNNNAAAAAAGAGAGAGAUUAGGUUUGAGUUAUCUUGUGGUAGAUGUAAUACUCACCAUAUAUCCUUAGUGGAUGGACAAAUGAGUGUUCAUGCUUAUUAGGGUUAACCCUCACUAGCAUUUAAAGCUAUCCCUUCACAUGGUAGAUUUGUGGUUUUAGGUUGAGUUUUUCUCCUUGGAUAACAAAAGACCUCAAGGCUUUUGGACCAAUCAAUUCACCAACUCGUUUUGAGAUUUUACCCCGAACUACGAGUUUUGAUCCUAAUCUUUUAAGAUGUACAUAGGCAAUAGUUUAUCAUCCAAACACAAAAUGUAAAUAACUUGUAUAUUCCUCUUCUCAUCUCUUCAGUCAUGUUUGCACAAAUAAACUUUCAUAAAACAACAACCUGCAACAAGUAUGAAAAGGACUCCCUAGAGUACCUAGGAUGUUUUGGUGCUAACACUUCCCACUUACAUAACCAACCCCUAACCCAGAAUCUCUGUUUCUCUUUUACUAGUUUUUUGUUAAAACUUUUAGGUUUUUGUUCGCUUUCUAACCAUUCCUUUGGAUAAAUAGAAGUGCGGUGGUGACUCGACUUGUAUGAUUUACCUUGGAUUUAGUCAAUAUCUCUAAUGGUAACGAAUACCCCGCUACAGUAUGCACACUUUGUUAAUUACCUAGCUGCUGAUAUCGUACCCCCUGAUCUUGACUACCACUGCAAGAAGAAGUUCUUCAAUGAUGUGAGAAACUUUUAUUAGGACGAACCGCUCCUUUUCAAAAGGGGUAAAGACGACAUUUUUCGCCGAUGCGUUCCAGAAGAGGAGGUAAAAAGUAUAAUUGAGCAUUGUCACUCUGCACCUUAUGGUGGACAUGCGAGCACCUCUAAGACAUACGCCAAGAUUCUUCAAGUUGGCCUAUUCUGGCCUACCAUGUGGCGCGAUGUCCAUGCUUGCAUUGUCAAAUGUGAUAGAUGCCAACGCAUAAGAAAUAUUUCAAGACGUGACGAAAUGCCUCUAAGAAACAUUCAAGAAAUAUAACUCUUUGACGUUUGGGGUAUAGAUUUCAUGGGACAUUUCCCACCAUCCUUAGAAAACAAGUAUAUCUUAGUAGCUGUGGACUACAUGUCUAAGUGGAUUGAAGCUAUAGCUGCACCCACAAACGACACUAGGGUGGUGAUCAAGUUAUUUAAAAACUACAUAUUCCCCAGAUUUGGAACACCCCGUUUAGUCAUAAGCGAUGGAGGAUCACACUUCAUAUCGAGAAUAUUUAAUAAACUUUUAAGCAAAUAUGGAGUUAGGCAUAGAGCAGCGACACCAUACCACCCACAGACUAGUGGCCAAGUAGAAGUAUCCAAUAGGGAGAUAAAACAAAUUCUAGAAAAAAUUGUUUCUAUAUCUAGAAGAGACUGGUCUCAGAAGCUCCAAGAAGCACUAUGGGCCUACAGAACCGCUUUCAAAACCCCUAUAGGAACAACUCCCUACCAACUAGUCUAUGGAAAAUCCUGUCAUUUACCUUUCGAAUUAGAGCAUAAGGCCUAUUGGGCCAUUAAAACUUUGAAUUUGGAUUACCUGACCGCUGGUGAAAAGUGUAUCGUUGACAUCCACAAACUGGAAGAACUCAGGCAAUCUGCCUACGAGAAUGCCAAAAUAUACAAAGAGAGAACAAAAGCUUGGCAUGACAAAAGAAUAGUGAAGAAAGAUUUCAAUAUAGGCAACCCUGUUCUCCUGUUCAACUCUAGGUUACGACUUUUCCCUGGAAGUUGCGUUCAAGAUGGACUGGCCCUUUCAAAGUAUCUAAGAUUCUGAGAUCCGGAGCUGUAUAAAUCAAGAACGAUACAUGUAGUCCAUUCAUUGUGAAUGGGCAAAGACUGAAGCUCUACGAAGCAGGAGACAUUCCAACAGACUACUCCACCACACUCUGAUAGGUCCACCGAUUCCUACGACAGGUGUAUAAAUUCUGAUCGUCAAGCUAACGACGUUAAACAAGCGCUGCUUGGGAGGCAACCCACGGUUUUCUUAUCUUGUUUUACUUUUUUGCAUUUAUUUACUUUAUUUUAUUUUUAAUCAUAUUUUUAUCAGGACUAAAUAUCAUUUGCAAUGUUUGUGUUUUCAGGAUCCUUUUCCCUAACCUUUGCAGGAUGCAGAACUUUGAUGACAUGCACGUAGCUUUCAGAGAUGAUGCCCAGAGGGAGCAUUACAUAGCUCUCUACCAGCGCCUUAUGGCUCCUACACGCUAUUCAGACCAGCACUGCAUGGAAGCCCUAGGCAUUGAGCCGAGCAUCAGAUUUUUGUGCCACCAACUCCAAUGGGAUGAAUUCGCUAACGACCUGAGCAACACCUACAGGAACUUGACAUUGGAGUUCCUCAACUCGUUUGAUUAUGAUCCUUACUCCAGACCAGAUGGGUAUGCUGUUUUCAGGCUAUUUGGGAUUGAGUACUCUUACAGCCAGAAGGAGUUCGGUGACUUAUUAGGUUUUCAGACCACCCCCGACGCUAUCCCUGAGACGCCGAUGGGAUACUUUCUGGGUAAGGAAGUGGAGAAAUUCUGGAGUGAUAUCUCUGGUGGAGGGAGUCAGGAUCCUUCUACUCAGUUGUCCCAGACUAUCCACAACCCUGCUAUAAGGUACUUCCAGAUGAUACUAGCACACUCUUUCCUUGGAAGACCAGAUGCUGAGACUUUGCUGAGUGAGGAAGAGAUAUUUUAUUAUUUUAUGCAUCCCAGUCUCGCCCUGUGGCAUGUGGGAACUUUCUGUUGUGUGGCCUUAGCAGUGUUGCCAGAUCAUCCGAAUGAGUUAUUCAUGUAGGAGGGAUCGUCACACAGAUUGCCAUCGCCUUAGGUCUAUCCCGCAAGCUGCUACAUCUCAGGACCUUCUGUGGGUACACUACUAUGGAUAUCGAUUUAUACUUGACCAGAGGAUAGAUGAGGAAAUCCUCUUUCAAUCCCAGAUAGUUCAGAUUGCUGAUUGAUAGCGAGACGAUACACUACUUUACACUGCCAGAUCCGAUGAUGACCAGUAUUCAUGACCCAACUAAUUGGAGUUAUGCUUUGGAGGGUCAUGGAGAGACUAUUGAGGAGCCUAGAUCCCCACCUGUUGCUGAGUAUACCCUUACACCUCCUUCACCCAGGAUUAUUGUGCUCUCUAAUAAUUUAUCUUUGCAGACCCCAAACAUCUGCACGCAGAUUGCCGAGUGUCGCAGAGAGAUUUCCGAGCUUAGGCAGGAGGUGGCUGACCUUACCUUAUAGAUGGCGGUAUCCAAUCUUACACAAUCUACCGAGGCUGAUUGUUUGUACCAGAAGAUCGCAGAGCUUCGUCAGGAGAUAGCCGUACUUCGUGGAUCCAGUCAGGCAGACGAACCCCCUGCUAUUUGAUUUUACCAUCUCGUUUUAUUUUGUCUCAUUUAUGCUUAUAUUUUUCGCAUUUUCCUAACUUAUUUUAUAUUAUUGCAUUUGGUAUAUUUUCUUAACUAUGUUACAAUUGAUAUUUCCUAAUAUAUAUAUAUAUAUAUAUUAUAUUUAUAUAUAUAUAUAUAUAUAUAUAUAUAUUAUGUGUGUUUAUUAUAUUUUUAUAUUUAUACUAUAGUCUAAUUAUAUUAAUUAUUAGUCUAAUGUUUAAGUUUAUUUUUAUAAAAAAUUGUGCAAGCCUCAUUUCAUUAGAAAAAAACAAUGCAAAUGCUAUCCGGACCCCCAAACCGAAAAGAGAAUGGAGAAGCCCAUGCCAAAUGAGUAAAAAUCCGGCCCAACUGAAAUUACCCUUGUGGCGCCCGCCAUGGAUAUGUGGCGCCCGCCACGGCGUCUGAUAAAGCUCGGGGCAGAUUCAUAUUUUUCACCAUUUUCAAACCUUCAAACCUCCAAAACCCAUUUUUUCACCUUCCAAAAACUCCCUUGAACCCCAUAAAAGCUCCCACAUUUGUCAUCUUCCCACCAUACAAGUCACUUUCCCAACUUCCAUUUUCAUUUUCAUCUGUCAAUAUUCAUAAAAAUCUCACCUUUAUACAAACCCAUCUUCAUCUUCUUCAUCACAUUCCAAGAGCUAAAUAAUGGAGUUCAACGGAUUUAUCCUUCGUGAAGGGAAACCGGAAGAUAGGUAGAGGAGGAUUAUCGAAAGAUUACAAAAUCGGGAAAUUCUCCCGACAAGGUACGUGGAUGAUAAUUGUCUUUACACUUUGGGUAUCUACCAUAGCAUUUUUCAUUUAUUGGAUAAUUUAGGCUUGCACACUAUCUUUUCAAACAGAGAGCCUACCUUUGAGCGAUUGACAAUCGAGUUUUUAAGUUCUUUAAUUUAUAUUAUCAAUCCUAACACUGCUAGUACAGUUGGUACUGUUCGAUUUAGAAUGUUUGCUGUUGAGUAUGAAUUUAGUACCGACGAACUAGCAGGUCUGUUAGGAAUUCCUCAUGGGGAAUGUGCUAUUUGUGAGGGGCCUUUGGAUUCAGAUUGGUCGGUCGAGGUGUUUUCCUUAUGGCAGAGAUUGUCUAACACUUCAAUAAAUUCUUUUGAAGGAAUUCUUGCCUCGACCAUCCAUAACCCGGCCAUCAGAGUUUUUAGAUAUUUGUUGGCAUGUACUAUUUUUGGCCGGGAGAAUCCAAACAAGGUUAAUGCUCGAGAGCUUCUAUUUUUGCAAGGAAGCCUCACAAAUAGGAGAAUUAAUUCAGUCCCAUUUAUGAUUGCUCAUAUGGCUUUAACUCUUAAUAAAGCGGGACCUAUUGUUUUUGGAGGACUCAUUACGUCUAUUGCUCGGGCUCUUAACCUGAACAAUGAUAUAGCUACUUUAGAUCCCUUAGCUCCUCGCACAAUCAACCUAAAAUUUUUGAGAGAUAUGAAAUUGUGCCGAUUGAGGAGGGACACGACACUGAUGAAGAGUUUGAUCGGAGAGAGCAAUCUCCCGUACCUCACGUGUCCCCCCAUCACCCUUCACCACCAUACACCGCACCAUCUUCUUCUUUUGCAGGUUCUGCUCCUGGCUUCUAUAUUACAGAGGAGAUGUGGCGCGACCACAUGGCUAGAGAGCAAAGGCGUGAUGACCUACUCUCCACCAUUCAACAACAACUGGCAGACAAUAUGAGCUUCAUGCAAGAAUCGCAGCGGAGGACAGAUAGAUCCUAUGAGACUGUUGUACAAUCCCUGCUUACGAUCACAAACGAGCAAGCUCGUCAGCAGAACUACCACCGUCAAUAUUCUGCGCUGAUAGAGGCCACUCAGGGUUCCAUUUUAAGCAACCUUCGAGAGGUGAGGACUGCUCAAGAUGCCUUACAGGCUAGGAUGGAUCAGAGAGACCGUCGUCACAGUCGAUCCCGUCGUCCACUUCAGGAUGGCGAAGGAACCAGCGGUCAGCAGUAGGAUGACAGGUUACUCUCCUCUUAUCUUCUUUCAAAACAUUGGGGACAAUGUUCGAUUUAAGUGUGGGAGGAGAUUUUAUCGCUUUCUAUUUUUCUUUGUUGUUUUAGUUAGAUUGUUUAUUUUUAUUGUUUUUUAGUUGUUCACUUUGUUUUAUUUUGCUUUUAGUUUGAGUGUUUUAGAUAAUGCAUGAGUCUGACGAAUCACCAGUAUAGUGUAUCUUUAGUACAGUCUAAUCUCCCCAUUCCUUUAGCCCUACCAAAAAAAUUUUGCAAAAGAAAACGGUGUUAUUCUAAAAGCUUUUGGGCUUUAAGACGGGUUUGAGUAAGGAUGUGGUGACUUGGGAGAACUUUUUGAAACAUCAGUAUUGUUUUAGCACCAUAGACUUCAUGAAUAUAGGAAUCACUCCCAAAACCCCAUAUACCAUGGCCUUAAUCAUCAUUUCAGUAUAGUCCUCAGUAGUUUAUUCUAGCAGUCAGCUCCGGCCUACGCAUCCUCUACGUAGGGGACCGAUGAACAUAAGUGAAUGAUCCAGUGAAAUAAAUAAAAGAAAAGAAAAGGCAACUCUGGUAUAGGUGACCCUCACAAAGUCAUUUAAACCAAAAAGUUGUAAAAAUUUGCUGCAAAAGAAAAAGAAAAAGAAAAAGAAAAACUCACCCGCUGUUAGUUGGUUCAGAGGUAUCUGGCGCUGAACUCGGUAGGGCGGAUAACUAUCUGAUCCCCCACAACUGCAUUUGGGUCAAAUAAAAGGGUUUACACAGAUUUAUGUGCCAUAAAUCCCAUGUUUAGGAUCAGAAUCACUAACAGGUCACUCUGCUAUGAAGCAUGUACGGAUACCGGGCUUAAUGUGAUUGCGCCUGAAUGAAAAGGACCCAAAAAUAGAUGAAGAGGUAGGCCUAGGUAUUGUGGGAUAAUAUGGGUUGGUUAAUAUAGGAAUGGAGUUUGUGUCCGUGUCUGCGGAUAAGUGUCAUCACGAUACCCUUAGUUCACUCAGUUAGUACCUAUCACUGCAUCCCGACUUGAACUUAGAAGCCUUUCUAGCCUGAAUCACUCGUUGACACCAAUUUUUCUUCUAUGAGCUUUUUAGUGUUUUUCUUGAGGACAAGCAAGGGUUUAAGUGUGGGAGAAUUUGAUGACACUGAAUUUCACCUUAUUUUCGACUCCGAUUUCGCAUGCAUUUUAGUUAUUUUAUUACUAUUUUGUUAUGUUAUUACUAUGUUUUUCUUUGUUUUCAGGUUUUUUGUCUAAUCAGAGCCCCGAUCGAGAAAAGGAGUGAAAAUGAGCUAAAAAGCCUAAAAAUCAUCAUUUUACACUUGUGGCUCCCACUGUGGCUGGCGCCAUGGGUCCAACCAUGACGUGUCAUAGUCCAACUUCCCAUCAACUGCCACGUCUCCCACUAUCUCCAUUUGGGCGCCAUGGUGUUGUGGCGGGCGCCACAAGAAGAAAGAAGUUUCCCACCCAAAGUCAAACUGAAGGGCAUCCUUGUCAUUUCCAUUAUUUUCCUUGCUUAUAAAUAGAGACUCGAUUUCAUUUGUUUUAUCAUCCAAACUUAGAUCAAACUUAGUUACAACUAGGCAUAUAUUUAGUAUUGUAAAAGUGGUAAUCGCUUCACAUCGGAGUGUUGCCACAACUGUGUAAUCGAGUCUGUAAUCGAGUUUGGAGCACUUUGGAAGGAAGUUAAUCCUGCCGCCAUUUUCAUUUCCGUUUCGCACUUUAUUCAACCCUCCGAUUGGAGCAGGUUUUGUUGCUUUACCUUUGUCUACUUUUAUUUAUUUCCCGCACUUCCUUUAUUUCGUUUAUUUCUCGCACUCGCACUACUUUCGUUUAUUUCUCGCACUCGCACUACUUUCGUUUAUUUCUCGCACUCGCACUACUUUUAUUUACUUUCCGACUUUAUUUCGUUUAUUUCUCGCACUCGCACUACUUUCGUUUAUUUCUCGCACUCGCACUACUUUCGUUUAUUUCUCGCACUCGCACUACUUUUAUUUACUUUCCGCACUCGCACUACUUUUAUUUAUUUCUCGCACUCGCACUACUUUCAUUUAUUUCUCGCACUCGCACUACUUUCGUUUAUUUCUCACACUCGCACUACUUUUAUUUACUUUCCGCACUAGCACUACUUUUAUUUAAAUUAAAAUGCACCUUUACUUUACCAUGUCUAGCUAAACCUAUAAAGGUUAGAAUGUAAGGAUCGUAAUUGAACUGAUAAUCCGUACAAUUGUUCGUGGAAACACUUAAGGGCUAUUUUGACUUUCAACUUAAGUUUUCCCGCACUUAAUUUCCGUUGGAUAAGAUCGAAAGUCAUCCAACAUCCUAAUAAACUUAGUUGUUUUUAACUAUUUCAAAUACAGCGAAAGCGCUUUGUUUAGUUCAUUAGGAGUUUUUAACUUAAAAGGAAAAGUGAUUUUAAAACUAUUUUCGGACGCGUUUAUAAGUUUAGAGUCUGGUUCGUGAGAACCUCUUUUGGUUAAGAAACCUAGGUCAAAAUACUUUUCAACUUAGUCAAGAUACUAUAUUUCUUGAAAAUAGGUUUACUACUCUAACGCAAUGCGUGCCUUUUUAUAAGUGACAAUAAGAGGGUUUGAUUAGGGAGUACACCUCGGUUCUGAAUACGCGAAAGCGACAGUUCCCGUUAAAUUGGUUCUUUUCAAAGUAGGAAACACUGCCCAUAAGUAAUUCUAUUAGCAAGCACUUGGAUUAUUAAUUGAUUAUGUGAAUUACAUUCGAACCUGUCUUUAUUAAUUGAAUUUUAUUUAAUAUAAGUAAUUCUAUUAGCAAGCACUUGGAUUAUUAAUUGAUUAUGUGAAUUACAUUCGAACCUGUCUUUAUUAAUUGAAUUUUAUUUAAUACUUUAUUUUUCAUUGUACACUCUAAAAACCCCUAUUUUGAUUACCUUAGAUAAACACCGUAACAAUAGAUAACGAUAGAUUGACACUUGGUCUCUGUGGAUUCGACAAUCUCUGUGGAUUCGACAAUCUUCCAUUCACCUUCGUAUACUUGCGAAAAGAACGCAUCAGCAGACUGGGGGUGUAGGAGAUAAAUAGGGGGUAAGGCCCCAAAAAAUGAACCAUGACAGAUUAGGAAUGGGCUUUGAGGCCCAUGAUUUCCCACACAAAACACCAAUCAGCUUUAAAAAAAUAUAAUUAAAAAAAGAAAUGGGCCUUAAGCCCACUCAACGGUCUGCCCAAAAGCAAACGAAGGUGAAUGGAAGGCGAAGGGGCACAGAUUUGGCCUCCCACACGCGGCAGGCGCAUGCGCUGCCUUGAGACUCACCACCACUUAAUAUCCAAUAAGAUCAUGUAUUAUCAUUAAAUAACAUUGAAGUUGUAAAACGCUACUACUAGAUAAAUCAGAUAACACGCCAACCCUAACGUCCAAUUCGUCUCUCGUCUCUUCUUCCUUCCAACCAUGGAUAUGAGAAAACCUUUUCUGAACCCUCAUCCUGGAUCUAUGAACGAAGUCUACAGGAUCUCAACAUAUUCACAAUUCGUCCUAAACCUAAAACCUAAAUCGAAGCAAACAAACAACUAUCCCUACACUAUAGAUUCAAUCAUAUGCUAACGAAACCUAAUGAUUUCAAAAACCAAAAACAAAUAAACAAAUCUAAACGGUACGGUAAAGAGUAAUGGUACGCGCAACAUUUAUACAAAAGGAUAUGCAAAUCAACAAGGAGUGAGGCAAUAUGAAGCUCGCCGGUGGUGUAAUCCAACCUUGAGGUGUGUCGCUUUCUCCUCCUUUUCUUCCUUUCGCCCUUUUAUGCUCUUCACCUCUUCUCCUUCCUCUUGGCUCAAGCUGUAAUGGUCUGUUUUUCAACUAAUCCGGAUUUCUGGUAAGAAGCUUCGGAUAGUUAUUUGUGAUAUGAACUUUUGGUGAGUUUAUUGAUUAUUAUUUAUUUUUUUGACAGAGUAACGGUGCCGAAAAAUCCUCUCCCCUGCACUGAUUGGAAGGCUCCUUAUAUAGAACAAAAACGGUUGGUUUUCGAAUCAUGAGCUGGCAAAGAUCGCAGAAUCAAAACCCGAUAAAAUACCAUCUCCCUUAAAUUUUGUGGGGACUGAUUUAUCUUGGAUUCGAAUCGUGGAAACCACAGAGAACUCAUUUGUUACCGCAAUGUGGCAACAUCCUCCCAGGACUCGGGUGGUCCCCCCGAUAUUUGGUAUGAUUUAUUUAAUUUUGAAAUAAGUGAGUAUCUGUCAAUAUUUAUUUUAAGUACUUCAGAUAUUAUUUGGUGUUGUAACUUAGCUCUCUUUAAAUCCUUGACCUUAAUUGAAAUUUCAAUCUUUUUGUCUUCAUUGCUAAUAUGGAUCUUGGCUUGGAUUAUUAUUAUGAAAAUUGCAAGAUAUUUAUUGAACAUGUCUUGAUGUUUGGUUAUUCUUUGAUGACAUGAAUAUUGGUUUGGUUCGGCAUGUGGUUGCUGCAAGUUUCAUUGCUACUGAUGCAUUACAGGGUCCUUUUACGAACUCAUACGCUGAUACAAGUUGGCCAAUUCUCCAUGUUGCAAGUUGGAUUCCAUGGUUAUGCCUGCUAGGUCCAUAGUCACGUCGAACAUGUUAUCUCACCAAAGGUUUCCUCAUCCAUUGGCUUGUAUUUCAAGGUCCUGCAGCGGGCUUGUGACAGGUUUUGGUUAUGGAUUGGGUAGCUUGAUUUUUCUGGUUUAUGUUUCAGGGUGUGUGUAUCAUUGAGCAUUUUUGGCCAAGGCUUCAAAUGAAGCUCGGCUCAUGUCCUGGUUGUUGCUCCACAUUUGGUUCAAAAGGGUUUGUGCACUAAGAUCCCCUUGACUGUCAUAGCAGGGUAAUUUUGUUAACUGAUAUCUGCUUUGUUGAUUUCUGCAGGUUGCUUUCAAUAUUGUACAUAGCCCCAAUUUGUGUCUAAAAUUCUUCAUCUUGCUCAGUAGUCAACGACACCAUACCAAGAUGAUCCGCCAGAUAUUGUUUGUCUUCUCAGAGAUCUAAUUCGGUUCCAUACAGUACAACAGGAACGCCUGGAGCAAAAAGCUGGAACUCAAAGACCCACUUCGUUGAACACCAAUCUCGUAACUGUCAAGACUAAUCAACAGAAAAACCCAAGGCGAGAACGUCCUUUCCUGUAGCUCAAAGGCCUUAACCUAUUGUAAUCCUCUUGCCUGGUUGUAUCCCAUAGGCCUAACUUGACAGUUAUGCCUUCAAUCCCUAUUUGCACUAAAAAUGCCGAACACUGUAGGAAUAUAGUUGGCGGAAAAUUUGUUGCCAGUGUAGCAACUUCGUUCUUGGACUCUCCUUUUUCAACUUACUAAGAAUGUGUGGUUGUUUUCUCAAUUGUGCAGGUUGCAAUAUGCUUAUUUAAGACGUGGCUUGUAACUUUUUGAAGAAAAGAGCACAAGGAGUCUGUUAUGGUCAGAUGAUCCGCUGUUUCCGGCUUGACAUAAAAUUACGUAUUUGGAUCCUAGGCAAGGAUUUUCCUUUUUACACCUUGUAAAUGGCCGUAACUCACAUUUGUAAUAAGUAUGAUUAAGAGAUGGAAUUGUUACAUAUGGACAUUUAUGUAUGAAUUUUCUAACUAUGUGUGUUCCUAUAUGCUUGAAUCUUGUUUGAAACAUUUGGAGUAAACAUGAACAUGUUCAUUGUGGGUAAACACGCCCUAGUUGACUUUGUAGGUAUGGUAUGAACAAGUAUAUCUGCCCUUU
rnacentral:lncRNA from 1 species